rnacentral:rRNA from 1 species
UACAGAGGAUGCAAGCGUUAUCCGGAAUGAUUGGGCGUAAAGCGUCUGUAUGGUGGCUUUUUAAGUACCGCCGUCAAAUCCCAGGGCUCAACUCUGGACAGGCGGUGGGAAACUACCAAGCUUGAGUACGGUAGGGGCAGAGGGAAUUUCCGGUGGAGCGGUGAAAUGACGUAGAGAUCGGAAAGAACACCAACGGCGAA